AUUGAACGCUGGCGGCAGGCCUAACACAUGCAAGUCGAGCGGAUGAAGGGGGCUUGCUCCUGGAUUCAGCGGCGGACGGGUGAGUAAUGCCUAGGAAUCUGCCUGGUAGUGGGGGAUAACGUCCGGAAACGGGCGCUAAUACCGCAUACGUCCUGAGGGAGAAAGUGGGGGAUCUUCGGACCUCACGCUAUCAGAUGAGCCUAGGUCGGAUUAGCUAGUUGGUGGGGUAAAGGCCUACCAAGGCGACGAUCCGUAACUGGUCUGAGAGGAUGAUCAGUCACACUGGAACUGAGACACGGUCCAGACUCCUACGGGAGGCAGCAGUGGGGAAUAUUGGACAAUGGGCGAAAGCCUGAUCCAGCCAUGCCGCGUGUGUGAAGAAGGUCUUCGGAUUGUAAAGCACUUUAAGUUGGGAGGAAGGGCAGUAAGUUAAUACCUUGCUGUUUGGACGUUACCAACAGAAUAAGCACCGGCUAACUUCGU
rnacentral:rRNA from 1 species